rnacentral:lncRNA from 1 species
UGGGAUUGAACUUUUGUACCAUUGAGUUGAAGCUCCAUGUUGUUUUCACUGUUCCCAUUUGGUGCUAACUGGUCAUGAUCCGAUUGCUUUAUUAGAUCCGAAAAAUUAAAUGGAGGCAAACCAUAGCCACUGGGGCUCAAUGGGGGAAGGUCCUCUUCACUAUUUAGCAUAUCCUGCAAUGGGGGAAGGUCCUCUUCACCAUUUAGCAUGUCCUCCAAGGUGAACUUGCCAAAGCCAGAGUCCUCGUCCUUACUUGAUGAUAAGGUUUUGGUGCCAUUUACCUUUACAUCCCCCAAUUCAGCCGGACCGGCAAUCACAGUACAUGGUUCCUUCUCAC